rnacentral:rRNA from 1 species
GAUGAACGCUGGCGGCGUGCCUAAUACAUGCAAGUCGAGCGAACAGACGAGGAGCUUGCUCCUCUGACGUUAGCGGCGGACGGGUGAGUAACACGUGGAUAACCUACCUAUAAGACUGGGAUAACUUCGGGAAACCGGAGCUAAUACCGGAUAAUAUAUUGAACCGCAUGGUUCAAUAGUGAAAGACGGUUUUGCUGUCACUUAUAGAUGGAUCCGCGCCGCAUUAGCUAGUUGGUAAGGUAACGGCUUACCAAGGCAACGAUGCGUAGCCGACCUGAGAGGGUGAUCGGCCACACUGGAACUGAGACACGGUGCAGACUCCUACGGGAGGCAGCAGUAGGGAAUCUUCCGCAAUGGGCGAAAGCUUGACGGAGCAACGCCGCGUGAGUGAUGAAGGUCUUCGGAUCGUAAAACUCUGUUAUUAGGGAAGAACAAAUGUGUAAGUAACUAUGCACGUCUUGACGGUACCUAAUCAGAAAGCCACGGCUAACUACGUG